UACGUAGGUGGCAAGCGUUAUCCGGAAUUAUUGGGCGUAAAGCGCGCGCAGGCGGUUUCUUAAGUCUGAUGUGAAAGCCCACGGCUCAACCGUGGAGGGUCAUUGGAAACUGGGGAACUUGAGUGCAGAAGAGAAAAGCGGAAUUCCACGUGUAGCGGUGAAAUGCGUAGAGAUGUGGAGGAACACCAGUGGCGAAGGCGGCUUUUUGGUCUGUAACUGACACUGAGGCACGAAAGCGUGGGGAGCAAAC
rnacentral:rRNA from 1 species